GAUGAACGCUGGCGGCGUGCCUAAUACAUGCAAGUCGAGCGAACAGACGAGGAGCUUGCUCCUCUGACGUUAGCGGAGGACGGGUGAGAAACACGUGGAUAACCUACCUAUCAGACUGGGAUAACUUCGGGAAACCGGAGCUAAUACCGGAUAAUCUAUUGCACCGCAUGGUUCAAUAGUGAAAGACGGUUUUUCGGUAUCGUCUAGAUGCAUCCGCGCCGUAUUAGAUAGUUGGUAGGGUCACGGCUUAUCAAGGCAAGGAUGCCCAGCCGACCGGCUUGGGUGGUCGGCCACCUGGGAACUGAGACGGGGUCCAUGCUCCUACGGGAGGGAGCAGUAGGGAAUCGGCCGCAAUAGGCGGAAGCUUGGCGGAGCAACGCCACGUGAGUUAUAGAGAUCUUGCGAUCGGAAAACUCUGUUAUUAGUGAAGAACAAAUUUGUAAGUAACUAUGCACGGCUUGACGGUACCUAGUCAGAAAGCCACGGCUAACUACGUG
rnacentral:rRNA from 1 species